CCUGGCCGAGCUAGCUUCAGGCUAAUUGGUGCUUGCUCCAGGAUGGAAACGCUAGCCAGGAGUAGUCACCCGGGAUUGCAGUUUGCUAGUUGCGAAGAUCCAGAUGAAAAUGUUCAGAGUUUGCGGUAGGAAUCCGGGGAAAAAAUAUAUAAAAUAAUAAUAGGUCCGUUAUGCUCUGGUUUGAGUCACGUUGUUCGAACUGGCGAGAGCUUUCCGAGCUAAAGGUUAGCUGAUGACCACUAGCAAUGGUUUGCUGACUGGUAGCUGGUAGGUAGUUAGCUGGCUAGCUUCAGUUGAGGGAUUCCAGAUCCGAAGUAAAUAGAAAGACUUUAGAAAAAAAACAGAUCCACGCCACAUUGGGUGAGGUGGGUUGCAGGAGAGUAUUUAGAAGUUGAGGUUUAGGAAAAUAUUUUAAAUAGAUAUGCGAAGAAAAAAUGUAAAAAGAUAUAUACAAGAGACACGACAGGACAAAGACGUCUGACUGCUACGCCAUCUUGGAAAUCUCAAACGUACAUAUUUUUAAAAGUAAUUCUAGUGCCUGAUUUUGGGGACUGUCAGCUUAAUAAAUAACCUAUCAUGCUUCAGUUCACACCUGUGCACACACCUGUGUAUGUGAGUUGAGCGGAGUCAGGAGAGGAGCGUUCCCAAUUUGACUGGAGUGCUGAGCGAGAUUCCCAAAGGCUGGAGCAUCGGCCUUUUAAUCCCCUCCAAUUUCAGUAGCGCUCACUUAAUUAGCUCAGGGCAUGCCUGGCCCAGCAUGCAUUUGUAGUCUACUUGUGUGCUGGUAUAGCCCCUUGCUUUAGCUACCCACUAGUGAUGGGUCGUUCGCGAACGAGUCAGCUUCUAAGAGCCGGCUCUUGUUGGUGAACGUUGGGAGCCGGCUCGCAUAUCAGAAGAGCCAAAUCUAUUUUUAAAAAUAUACAAAUUUAGCAUAUGAAUAAUCAAAAUAUUUAAAUGAAUAGAAUGAACUAAUUCAAAGAACGAAAAAAUACAGCAAAUAAUUUAGGCCUAAAUGCUCAAGGGCACACACAUUCGUUCUGACUGUCUGCCCAGACUAACAGCCUCACCUGUGGUUCCUGUCAAUCAGACACGCAAUGUCAACCAAUGAACCAAAGAUGCGUGAGGGAGGGCCGAGCCAACUCACUCACAGUCACACACUUAGCAGCCGAGGAGAGAGAGGAAAGACAGCUGUGAAAACAACAGCUGGAAACAGCUGUUGUUUUCAGCUGGAAAACAGCUGGAAAAUGCUGGAAAAUGAGCCCAACAGCUGGAAAAUGAGUCGGAAGCACAGUAACAUUUGGAUGCAUUUUAAUAAUGUAGACAACGUUAGAGCACAGUGUAGAAUUUGCCAAAACAAAAUCUCAUAUAAAGCCGGUUAUAUGCACAACCUACACCGGCAUAUGUGAACUGUGCACCCAACUGUGAAGCUUGCUAUAGCGGAGCUUCGAGAAACUAGCGGGCCUGCUAGUGAUAGUGGUGGAGCCAGCACCUCCACACGUGGAGAUGUAUCCACUCAGUCAACUAGGCCUGCUAGUGAUAGUGGUGGAGCCAGCACCUCCACACGUGAAGAUGUAUCCACUCAGUCAACUAGACCUGCUAGUGAUAGUGGUGGAGCCAGCACCUCCACACGUGGAGAUGUAUCCACUCAGUCAACUAGGCCUACUAGUGAUGGUGGUGGAGCCAGCACCUCCACACGUGGAGAUGUAUCCACUCAGUCAAGUAGGCCUACUAGUGAUAGUGGUGGAGCCAGCCCAGUCAACUAGGCCUGCUAGUGAUAGUGGUGGAGCCAGCACCUCCACACGUGGAGAUGUAUCCACUCAGUCCAGUAGGCCUACUAGUGAUAGUGGUGGAGCCAGUACCUCCACACGUGGAGAUGUAUCCACUCAGUCAAGUAGACCUACUAGUGAUAGUGGUGGAGCCAGUACCUCCACACGUGGAGAUGUAUCCACUCAGUCAAGUAGGCCUGCUAGUGAUAGUGGUGGAGCCAGCACCUCCACACGUGGAGAUGUAUCCACUCAGUCCAGUAGGCCUGCUAGUGAUAGUGGUGGAGCCAGUACCUCCACACAUGGAGAUGUAUCCACUCAGUCCAGUAGACCUGCAAGUGAUAGUGGUGGAGCCAGCACCUCCACACGUGGAGAUGUAGCCACUCAGUCCAGUAGGCCUACUAGAGAUAGUGGUGGAGCCAGCACCUCCACACGUUGAGAUGUAUCCACUCAGUCAAGUAGGCCUACUAGUGAUAGUGGUGGAGCCAGCACCUCACACGUGGAGAUGUAUCCACUCAGUCAAGUAGGCCUACUCCAUGACCCACAGCAAUGCAGUCUUCUAUGGACCAGUUUAUGCCAAAAUCUAUGUCUGUAGCAAAACAAGGCCAAAUUGAUAUCGCAUUGGCCUAAAUGAUUGCCAUCAAUUUCCAGCCAUUUUUGAUCAUGGAGGACAGAGGUUUUAGAAAUUAUAGCAAUAGUCUAAAUCCAAUGUACACAAUUCCAAGCAGGAAAACCCCUUCAAAAUCACUUAUUCCACAACUGGCUUCAGUGCGGGAAAGAGUCCAAAAAGCUACUGCAGUUUGCCUUGACUGCUGGAUAUCAAGGGUAACCACUUCUUACAUGUUGGUUACAUGUCACUUCAUUGAAGAUUUUUCGAUGUCUAGCUGCCUUCUGGACUGCUUUGAGUUCAGCGACAGACACACCUCAGAGAACUUGGCAGAGGAACUGUUGAGAGGGACCAGAGAAUGGCAAGUAGAUGGAAAAGUGAUCUGUUGUGUUAGCGACAAUGCAGCUAACAUAACCAAAGCCAUGAACAUUUUAAAAUGGACCCAUCAUCCAUGUCUUGCCCACACAAUCAACCUGAUUGUAAGAGAUGCUCUAAAGGUGAUGAAGCCCACAGUGGACAAAGUGAAAGCAGCUGUGGAAUACUUCCAUAGGAGCACAGUCGGUGCUGAAAAACUAAAGUCUUCACAACGCCAGAUGGGGAUGCCUGAGCUGAGGCCUAACUAGACGCACUACAAGGUGGAAUUCAACAUUUUAUAUGUUGAAGCGGUUUCUUGAGUCAAAGGAUGCCAUCAUCUCUACCCUGGCCAUUGUCAAUGCACCUGUUGAUGCUCUGACCCAAGAGGAAUGGGAGGUGGUGGAGGAGGUGUGCAGAGUCCUGGAACCCUUUGAGCAGGUCACUGUGGAGAUCAGCGGAGAGAGCUUUGUGACAGCCUCAAAAAUGAUACUCCUGUGUAAGGGUCUGCAGCGAAUCACAGCCAGCCGCCAGAGAGAAGCAAAUGUAACCACAGGAUAUGUGACAGAGUUGAUGGACACCCUGUGUUCAUCAAUGCACAAAAAGUUCCACAGAAUGGAAUAUAAUCACGUGCUAUCAGAAACCGCUGCACUUGACCCCAGGUUUAAGAAGUUAGCCUUCAGUGAUGCCAGAACGAUUGAUGAGGCUCUUCAAAGAAUAACCUCAGCAGCAGGGAGGGACAGCCCCAGCAGUCAGCUGGCUCAGGCACCAGGGCAAGAGGAAGAAGAGGGAUCAGAUGGAGCAGAAGCACCAUCAGUAGUGCCACAAACGUCUGCUGUUUGGAUGCUGUUUGACAAGAGAGCAACUGGGGAUGCAGCACGAAGGAAUCCCUCAGCAGAUGCCAUAAUGGAGGUCCGAUCCUAUUUGGAGGAGCCCCUCCAAAGAUCUGCAGAUCCUCUGAGCUGGUGGAAGAACAAGGCCUCUGUCUACCUACGGCUUACUAAAGUCAUGACAGCGAGACUCUGCAUAGUGGCCACAUCCGUUCCCUCUGAGAGGGUCUUCUCAAAAAUGGGACAAAUAAUUACUGAGAGAAGAAACCGCAUCAGCCCCUCGAAAGUGAGGCAGCUUGCAUUUCUGAAUGCAAAUCUCUCAUUAAAGCAAAAUAUGGGCAGCAUUGCUGUGUGCUGCUGGUUAUAACAUGGCAAUAAAGAAGAGAGAGAAAAGAGGGACCAGUUUAAUGUUUUAAGUGGGAUGCUGCAGUUUUGCACAUUGUUAUUUAUUUUUCUUUGAUAUGGUGCAAUAUUCUAUUAUGUUGUUCAGAUUGUAUUAGAUUUGAAUUGUUACAUUUAUAUGCACUUUGUUAAUAUACAUUAAAAAGUUAUACUUUAAA
rnacentral:lncRNA from 1 species